rnacentral:tRNA from 1 species
GGAGGAAUACCCAAGUCUGGCUGAAGGGAUCGGUCUUGAAAACCGACAGGCGGGUCACACCCGCGCGGGGGUUCAAAUCCCUCUUCCUCCACCA